GAUGAACGCUAGCGACAGGCUUAACACAUGCAAGUCGAGGGGCAGCAGGGGAGUAGCAAUACUCCCGCUGGCGACCGGCGCACGGGUGAGUAACACGUAUGCAACCUGCCCUUGUCAGGGGGAUAAGCGGAAGAAAUUCCGUCUAAUACCGCAUAACGCUGCGGGGAGACAUCUCCCUGCAGCCAAAGAUUUAUCGGACAAGGAUGGGCAUGCGGCGCAUUAGCUUGUUGGCGGGGUAACGGCCCACCAAGGCGACGAUGCGUAGGGGUUCUGAGAGGAAGGUCCCCCACACUGGUACUGAGACACGGACCAGACUCCUACGGGAGGCAGCAGUGAGGAAUAUUGGUCAAUGGCCGGGAGGCUGAACCAGCCAAGUCGCGUGAGGGAAGACGGUCCUAUGGAUUGUAAGCCUCUUUUGUCAGGGAGCAAAAACUGCCACGCGUGGCAGGAUGAGAGUACCUGAAGAAAAAGCAUCGGCUAACUCCGUGCCAGCAGCCGCGGUAAUACGGAGGAUGCGAGCGUUAUCCGGAUUUAUUGGGUUUAAAGGGUGCGUAGGCGGACAGUUAAGUCAGCGGUAAAAUUGAGAGGCUCAACCUCUUCCCGCCGUUGAAACUGAUUGUCUUGAGUGGGCGAGAAGUAUGCGGAAUGCGUGGUGUAGCGGUGAAAUGCAUAGAUAUCACGCAGAACUCCGAUUGCGAAGGCAGCAUACCGGCGCCCAACUGACGCUGAAGCACGAAAGCGUGGGUAUCGAACAGGAUUAGAUACCCUGGUAGUCCACGCAGUAAACGAUGAAUACUAAUUGUUCGGGUCGAGUGAGAUCUGAGUGAUACAGCGAAAGCGUUAAGUAUUCCACCUGGGGAGUACGCCGGCAACGGUGAAACUCAAAGGAAUUGACGGGGGCCCGCACAAGCGGAGGAACAUGUGGUUUAAUUCGAUGAUACGCGAGGAACCUUACCCGGGCUCAAACGACACAGGAAUGAUCUGAGAAAUCAGGCAGUCCUUCGGGACCUGUGUCGAGGUGCUGCAUGGUUGUCGUCAGCUCGUGCCGUGAGGUGUCGGCUUAAGUGCCAUAACGAGCGCAACCCCCAUCGACAGUUGCCAGCAGGUCAAGCUGGGCACUCUGUCGAGACUGCCGGCGCAAGCUGUGAGGAAGGCGGGGAUGACGUCAAAUCAGCACGGCCCUUACGUCCGGGGCGACACACGUGUUGCAAUGGCAGGUACAGCGGGAAGCCACCUGGCGACAGGGAGCGGAACCCGAAAGCCUGUCUCAGUUCGGAUUGGAGUCUGCAACUCGACUCCAUGAAGCUGGAUUCGCUAGUAAUCGCGCAUCAGCCACGGCGCGGUGAAUACGUUCCCGGGCCU
rnacentral:rRNA from 1 species